UACGUAGGGUGCGAGCGUUGUCCGGAAUUAUUGGGCGUAAAGGGCUCGUAGGCGGUUUGUCGCGUCGGGAGUGAAAACCCAGGGCUUAACCCUGGGCUGGCUUCCGAUACGGGCAGACUAGAGGUAUGCAGGGGAGAACGGAAUUCCUGGUGUAGCGGUGAAAUGCGCAGAUAUCAGGAGGAACACCAACAGCGAAGGCAGCACUCUGGGCCGGUACUGACGCUGAGGCGCGAAAGCGUGGGGAGCGAACGGG
rnacentral:rRNA from 1 species